rnacentral:lncRNA from 1 species
AUAUUUCAGCAAAAUCACUCAAGUAGUAAGAUGGGAAAAGUCAGAACCUUGUUGGACUUCUUCACAUUUAUUUUUUGGUCUUGUAUUAUUUUUAUUUACACAUUAGGUGAAUUGGUGGGACAUCAAAAUCUUUUCAGUGCUUAGGAUCUCCAAAAAUCUUAAUCCAGCUCUGUAGGCAUCUUAAAUUACCCUAAAUUUUAUUUCUUGUUAUUCAGCAAAAAGAAUUUUAUUUCAUGAAAAUUAUAAUCCAUGUAUACCUAUACUUCACAUGAGUACAAUUUAAGAAUCUUCCUUAUUACACUGUCUUCUCUUAGAAACCAUAAUAAAUGCUAGACAGCAACUCUCAUAAGUUGGAUUAAUGCCAGUUACCUUAUCAGCCAACAAUACUACUAUAUCAUCACACACCCUCCAGCUGUACUGAAGGAUUACAUAUUAAUUUCCCAGAAUAAUCAGAAGUAAAUUAUAUUAUUUAUGGUAUUUACUGGUAUAUAUGGAAUCCUAAAAGUUCUAUUUGAAAUGUCUAAAUACACGUAAGAAGCAAGAGGAGUUAAUUUCUU